rnacentral:lncRNA from 1 species
CAAUGAAAUACCAGGCAAAGCCCAAAUCUGCAGCUCAGGUUCACUGAACAAGGAUCUGGGAUGUAGCUCAGGGACAUCUGAGCAGGUAAAUGGAGUCAGGCAUCAGGCCAGUGCUCACUGACCAACCUGCUCCAGGGGCUCUCCUCAGUUCUCUUCUCACCUUCUAGAUGGUUUCUCUGCCCUGCCCUGAGGGUUUCUAGAUGCGAUUAUUUACUUCUAAAUGGGAUUCCCUUAUUUAUCAUGUAAGCACUGUGGCCAGUACAUCCCACCUCUUGGAGAGUUGCCCCAAGAGAAAAAAAUAGAAAGAAUCAACCCUUAAAGGAGUAGGUUAGCCUUUGGAGGAAGCCCAUCCUUGCAGAAGGCUUACAGAUAAAUCACUGGGGACACAGAGAAGCCCCGUCAAAGUAUCCAGGUCUCCCAUCAGGCUAGGAACUUGACUAAAGAAAUAUAUAACCUGAGCCACUGAGAUGCCCAGGCUGAUAGAAAGUGUGACCAGAAAGGCAUGGGGUCCUCAUGAAGCCCAGCAAAUCUGGAAGACUUGGCCGUCUUUCUUGCCUCCCUAAGCAGCCCUUUGGUUGUUAGGAAAUGAGUGGUGACGGGUAAUGAAAGUUCAGAAAAGUUGGCUUCCAAAAUCCAUCCUUACUACACAAAAUAUGUGGAGGUGUACUGGUUAGUAAUGCAGAACCUCUGGCCCCACCUGAGGUCUGCUGAGUCAGAAUCUGCAUUUUAGGGAGAUUCCUACCUCCUUUGUGCUAUACCUCCUAUCCCAUCCUCAAGAUGGCUACACAUAUUAAAUUUAAGAGGUAUGGAUUUAUGGCAUACUCUCCUAUAAGCUUGGAAAGCAGGACUCAAUCAACUCCCCUAAGCCACUGGUAAACAGGGCUCCUGGACCUGUAAAACUGGUCCCCACCCUCAGAUAAUGCUGACCUGGGACGCCACUCACCCCCUCCAUUUGAGCAGCCAACAGCUUCCACUUCAACAUCUUUUCUUUCCAUGUGCAAAACAGGCUCUCCUUAAAUUAGAGUGAGCCACGCUGUAAGACUUGUUUGCUGCAACAGUGAAGACAGUCCUGCCUUGGAUUCAUCCAAGUGUGUACAAUGAGGCUCAUAAAAUCAUUGUAUUAUUUGAACACAGAAUAAAAUGGCCAUGUGCGGUAAA